GUAGGGAGCAAGCGUUGUUCGGAAUUAUUGGGCGUAAAGAGCGCGUAGGCGGCCAGGUAAGUCUGAUGUGAAAUCCCACAGCUCAACUGUGGAACUGCAUUGGAAACUGCUUGGCUAGAGUGCGGGAGAGGAGAGUGGAAUUCCCAGUGUAGAGGUGAAAUUCGUAGAUAUUGGGAGGAACACCAGUGGCGAAGGCGGCUCUCUGGACCGCAGCUGACGCUGAGGCGCGAAAGCUAGGGGAGCGAACGGGAUUAGAUACCCGGUAGUCCUAGCCCGUAAACGAUGGGCACUAGGUGUGGGAGGUAUCGACCCUUCUGUGCCGUAGCUAACGCAUUAAGUGCCCCCGCCUGGGGAGUACGGUCGCAAGCUA
rnacentral:rRNA from 1 species